GAUGAACGCUGGCGGCGUGCCUAGUACAUGCAAGUCGAGCGAACAGACGAGGAGCUUGCUCCUCUGACGUUAGCGGCGGACGGGUGAGUAACACGUGGAUAACCUACCUAUAAGACUGGGAUAACUUCGGGAAACCGGAGCUAAUACCGGAUAAUAUAUUGAACCGCAUGGUUCAAUAGUGAAAGACGGUUUUGCUGUCACUUAUAGAUGGAUCCGCGCCGCAUUAGCUAGUUGGUAAGGUAACAGCUUACCAAGGCAACGAUGCGUAGCCGACCUGAGAGGGUGAUCGGCCACACUGGAACUGAGACACGGUCCAGACUCCUACGGGAGGCAGCAGUAGGGAAUCUUCCGCAAUGGGCGAAAGCCUGACGGAGCAACGCCGCGUGAGUGAUGAAGGUCUUCGGAUCGUAAAACUCUGUUAUUAGGGAAGAACAAAUGUGUAAGUAACUAUGCACGUCUUGACGGUACCUAAUCAGAAAGCCACGGCUAACUACGUG
rnacentral:rRNA from 1 species